CCUACGGGAGGCAGCAGUCGAGAAUCAUUCACAAUGGGGGAAACUCUGAUCGUGCGAUGCCGCGUGGGGGAAUGAAGGUCUAUGGAUUGUAAACCGCUGUCAUGUGGGAGCAAAUUAAAAAGAUAGUACCACAAUAGGAAGAGACGGCUAACUCUGUGCCAGCAGCCGCGGUAAUACAGAGGUCUCAAGCGUUGUUCGGAAUCACUGGGCGUAACGCGUGCGUAGGCUGUUUCGUAAGUCGGGGGUGAAAGGCGCGGGCUCAACCCGCGGACGGCACAUGAUACUGGGGCACUAGAGAAUUGGAGGGGGAGGCGGAAUGCUCGGUGUAGCAGUGAAAUGCUUAGAGAUC
rnacentral:rRNA from 1 species